AAUCUUCCACAAUGGACGGAAGUCUGAUGGAGCAACGCCGCGUGAGCGAAGAAGGUAUUCGGAUCGUAAAGCUCUGUUGUAAGGGAAGAACACGUACGGAAGUCACUGCCCGUACCUUGACGAUACCUUAUCAGAACGCCACGGCUAACUACGAGACAUCAGCCGCGGUAAUACGUAGGUGGCAAGCGGUGUCCGGAAUUAUUGGGCGUAAAGCGCGCGCAGGCGGUCCUUUAAGUCUGAUGUGAAAGCCCACGGCUCAACCGUGGAGGGUCAUUGGAAACUGGAGGACUUGAGUACAGAAGAGGAAAGCGGAAUUCCACGUGUAGCGGUGAAAUGCGUAGAGAUGUGGAGGAACACCAGUGGCGAAGGCGGCUUUCUGGUCUGUAACUGACGCUGAGGCGCGAAAGCGUGGGGAGCAAACAG
rnacentral:rRNA from 1 species